UUAUCGUAGGUGAACCUGCGGUAGGAUCAUU
rnacentral:rRNA from 1 species